GGAUCUUCACGUGUGAGAUAUGCUAACUAUCUGCUUGCACAAGUACCAGUAAUCAAGACGGAACUGAGAUGGUGGAGACUGAGUCAGGGUUUGCCCUCUGUGAUUGGUCAGGGCGAACAAAGUCCGCUAUCAACCUGGAGACAGCAUCAGGCUUCUCCACAUGAGGGAUAUGGCCACAUUUUGGUAUUUGGCGUAGAAUUGCAUUUGGAAGUUCACAAUGCAAUCUCACUGCAAGCUUGUUGUCAAUAAUCUGAUCAU
rnacentral:misc_RNA from 1 species